rnacentral:rRNA from 1 species
CCUACGGGCGGCAGCAGUGGGGAAUAUUGGACAAUGGGGGCAACCCUGAUCCAGCCAUGCCGCGUGUGUGAAGAAGGCCCUCGGGUUGUAAAGCACUUUCAGUGAGGAAGAACGCCUGGUGGUUAAUACCCAUCAGGAAAGACAUCACUCACAGAAGAAGCACCGGCUAACUCCGUGCCAGCAGCCGCGGUAAUACGGAGGGUGCGAGCGUUAAUCGGAAUUACUGGGCGUAAAGCGCGCGUAGGUGGCUUGAUAAGCCGGUUGUGAAAGCCCCGGGCUCAACCUGGGAACGGCAUCCGGAACUGUCAAGCUAGAGUGCAGGAGAGGAAGGUAGAAUUCCCGGUGUAGCGGUGAAAUGCGUAGAGCUCGGGAGGAAUACCAGUGGCGAAGGCGGCCUUCUGGACUGACACUGACACUGAGGUGCGAAAGCGUGGGUAGCAAACAGGAUUAGAUACCCCUGUAGUC